UACAGAGGUCCCAAGCGUUGUUCGGAUUUACUGGGCGUAAAGGGUGCGUAGGGUGGCGGGGUAAGUCUGGUGUGAAAGCUCCGAGCUCAACUCGGAAAAGCAUUGGAAACUAUCCCGCUUGAGGGUCGGAGGGGAGACUGGAAUUCUCGGUGUAGCAGUGAAAUGCGUAGAUAUCGAGAGGAACACCAGUGGCGAAGGCGAGUCUCUGGACGACUCCUGACACUGAGGCACGAAAGCUAGGGGAGCAAACAGG
rnacentral:rRNA from 1 species